rnacentral:lncRNA from 1 species
GCCCGCCUCCCUCCCCCCGAGGCGGAGGAAGCUCUUGGGGCCGGGCUCUGGCCCUGGGGGCUAAGCGAUGGGCGGCCCGGGCAAUAUCCCCCUGGCUCCGAAGGCAGUGUUUGACCCAGCCCGGGAGAGUGCAGCCCCAGCUUCUUUAAGCCCGGAGACUACAUUUCCCAGAGAGCCAUGCGGGGCCAGGAUGUGCGUAACGCGCAGGCGCCGGGACAUUUUUCUGUUUAUAUAA